UAUAUUCGAAAAGUAAACGUCUAAGUAUUACUUAGAAAGUAAAUAUACCGUAUUUCAACUUUUCAUUUAUUUCAGAUGUAUAAUAGAAUAUUUGAAAGACAAGAUUUGCAUUCUUGUUACGCAUCAAAUACACUUUUUAAACUCUGCAAGUAAAAUUUUACUGUUAAAUAAGGGAAAAUGUGAGUUUGUUGGCAAUUACAAUCAGAUGAAAAACUCUAAAAUGCUUAAAGGAAUUUUGUCAAAGAAAGAAAUAGCUGAAAAUAGCAAGGACUUAAAAAAUGUACUUUUCAAUGGUGAUGAAAUAAUUGAAACUACUGAAUCUGAUUUGAUUGAUGACAUUGAAGAUAAUAAUAACAGCAACAAAAAAUUUCAAGAAAACAAAUUACCACGAGAUGAAGGAGGAG